UUUUAGAAUGUUAAGGUUUGUACCUGAGUAGUAUUAGUUAUGUUCUUGAAACUUAAAGAAUUUGGCGGUAUCUCAUUCCGUCCAGAGGAAUCUGUCCCGUUAUCGAUAGUCCACGUUGGACCUUACUUAUAUUGAUUUUGGUUUGUAUACCGCCGUUUAUUGUUUAUCUUUUUAGAGGUGUUAAAUUUUCUGGUUUCUUUAUUUUGAUGUAUUUCAGGUCAAGGUGCAGCUUGUUUUUAAGUGGAGUGAUGGAUUACAUUAUUAUUUGUUUAUGGAUUAUUGGUUUUAAUAUUGAUAUGAAAUUGGAUUUGGUUGUAAUAAUUUGUAGAUUGUUAUUAUGAUAAUUGGUUCUGGGAUAUGCACACAUCGCCCGUCGCUCUCGUUUGUUUAUUAUAAU
rnacentral:rRNA from 1 species